rnacentral:rRNA from 1 species
AGAGUUUGAUCAUGGCUCAGGAUGAACGCUGGCGGCGUGCCUAACACAUGCAAGUCGAGCGAUUCUCUUCGGAGAAGAGCGGCGGACGGGUGAGUAACGCGUGGGUAACCUGCCCUGUACACACGGAUAACAUCCAAAGGUAUGCUAAUACGAGAUAAUAUACUUUUAUCGCAUGGUAGAAGUAUCAAAGCUCCGGCGGUACAGGAUGGACCCGCGUCUGAUUAGCUAGUUGGUAAGGUAACGGCUUACCAAGGCGACGAUCAGUAGCCGACCUGAGAGGGUGAUCGGCCACAUUGGAACUGAGACACGGUCCAAACUCCUACGGGAGGCAGCAGUGGGGAAUAUUGCACAAUGGCGAAAGCCUGAUGCAGCAACGCCGCGUGAGCGAUGAAGGCCUUCGGGUCGUAAAGCUCUGUCCUCAAGGAAGAUAAUGACGGUACUUGAGGAGGAAGCCCCGGCUAACUACGUG